rnacentral:lncRNA from 1 species
AAUUCUACCAAAUGUAUUAUGAAAGUAUUAAGGCUGCACUGGCACUGACCACAGGCUGCUGGGACACAGGCACAGUGGGUAGACAGACACCAAGGAUUGCUGCUCUGCUCCACUUUGGCUUUUUGUGUUGUUGUUGGUGGUGGUGGUGGUGGUUUUGAGACAGUUUCUCUGAGCAGCCUUGGCUGUGCUUGAACUCACUCUGCAGAACAGGUUGGCCUUGAACUCACAGAGAUUAAAGGUGUUGCACCUCCGUCACCAGUUCAGUUUUGACCUUUUGAAUGAGAAGACUUUUCUUGUUUUGUUUGUUUCUACAUGUGUAUGCAUGCAAAUGCACAUGUGUGUGCACUUACUACAUGUGUAUGCAUGCAAAUGCACAUGUGUGUGCACUUACUUGGCAAUCAGAGGACAACUUUCAGGGUGUUCUUCUCUCUUUCCACAGUGGGUCCUGGGGAAACACGAUAAGGUGGACAGGCUUAUGAGGAAAGUAGCAUUAUUGUUCAUUUGUUUUUUCAUUCAUUCAUUUAUUUAGUCUUGAAACAAGGUCUCAGCAUACCCUAUGCUGGCCUUGAGUUCCUGAUUCUCGUGCCUCUAACUCCAAAGUGCUGGGAUUGAAAGCAUAAAACACCGCACCUGGCUUAGGAGAGUUUUAUAGUUGUCACUGCUUGUAUGAGGAUUCUUGAGAGAAACAGGACCAAUAGAAUGAAUAUAUAUUAAAAGGAAAGGACAGGAAGAGCCGCACUCAGUAUGAUCUGGGUAGUCUGCAGUGGCUAUCUUCAUAUGGAGAGGCUGAGAACCACUAGCUGCUCAGUCUACAAGGCGGGUGCACUGCAGGGCUGGGAGCUUCAGUUCAUUCUGGAAGACUGAAGGACUGGGUUCUGAUAGCACUGAAGGGAUGCAGCAGCAGCAGUCUGGUGGAUGAACUCGCCAGCAGGACACAAAGCCCAGCAGACAAAAAUCAAAGCUUUCCCCUCCUACUUUCUUUAGUCUGGGCUGUCACCAGGAGGUGCUGUCCAUGUGUAGGGCUGGGCUUCCUACUUUACAUGACCAGAUCUACAAAAUCCUCAUAGCUGUGCCAGCUGCUUAUCUUUAGUUAGAGCCCAGCUUCAGUCAAGCUGGUAAUCAAGGUUAAUUUUCACACUGGUAGACAUAUUUAAGACAAAAAAAUUGUACUGUUAGAAUAUUUCAAGGUCUGUCAUGGGUUAAGACAGAAAGAUGAUAAUUUGUAUUUUAGAAGAUACUGUAAGAAAUCACGUUGAUGAGGGGAGCUGGAGAGAUGGCUCACCCCUAUGGCAGUUCACAGCUCCAGUUCCAGGGCUCCUGUACCCUUUUCUGGCCUCCAUGGACACUUGGCAUGCAUGUGGUGCACAGACAUAUAUGCAGGCAAACCAUCCAUAGAAAUGAGAAUAAGUAAUAGCAUUUUUAAAAGGAGAGAAGAAAGUGUGUUGGGUGACUGAGCUGAAACAUCAACUCAAAACCUUGCCUAAGAGUGUAGAGAGCUUAGAGGAAGGUUCCUACUGAGAUGUGCCUCACUUGCCCUUGGACCUGCCUGCACCAGGCGUGUUAGCUGUGGCUCCGUAACAGUUUACUGUGCACACAAGACAGCCAGCCGCUCACAGCAGGUACUGACUGCUUCACCAUCUGGGAAAAAGCUGCUUAACUUGCAGCUUAAAAUCACCAAUUUCAAACUCACUUUCCCUCUCUAGAUUUUUUGGGGUUUUGUUUGUUUUAAUUUAUGUAUGUGUGUAUGUAUACACCUGUGUGUAUGCUUGGGUGCUUGGCAGGGCCAGAGAAGGGCGUUAGGUAUCCUUUGUUCCUCUGCCUUUCUUUUGAGGCUGGAUCUGUAUCUGAACCUGGAGUUCACUCUUUAGCUCAGCUGGAAGCCAGCCUGCCUCAUGGUCUUCCCCUGUCUGCCCACUCAGGACCGUCUAGCUCGUCAGCUCUUGUGCUUGUGGGGCAAGCCCCUUCCCCACUGAUGCAUCUCCAGCGCCUCCAUUUCUAGCUUAAGCAAAUGCUAGUGCCCUGUUUGUCCUCAUACACUAUCUUGGCGACAUUUUGCUGCUGCUUGUGAGUUAUGCGUCUGUUCUCGAAUUCCCUUGUGCUUUCUUCAUUGACCCAUGGAUUGUUCCAAAAUGUGGUAUUUAACUUGCAGGUAUUUUGAAAAUUUCCAGCCAUCUCUUACUAAUUUUUACUUUCUGUUGUGGUUAUAUACUU